CCACACUCACCCACCCACACUCAGUGCCAGCAACGCUACAGCCCCAUCCAGCACCGUUUAACAGCUUACCCAGGUGUCAACUGGUAAAAUCAAACACACAUAAAGACUAGGGCAUGCAAGAACCCUGUUUUCUUAAGCGGUAUUAAUUACUGAUAGAGAUCAACAUCCAGCUUCUCAAAAUGACACCUGAGAGGAGGUGCAUAGAAAUAGUGGGUAUAGCUGUUAACCUUUGCAGUGUAGACAGGUAUGUAAGCAUUGCUGUUCAAGAGUGAAGAAGAUCCUAAUGGCCUCAGGGUACAGACUUCAGGUGGAUUUCUCUGUGACACUGAGGCCCUUUGUGUCUCUUGAGCAGCUAAUUCCUUGCCCCUUAACCUGUACUUCUGACAAUCCCCUUAAAUGCUUCUGUAACCUUUUGUCAUCAUGACUCAAGCUCUGUCCCAAAUCAUGCUAAGCCAGUUCUUUAGGAUAUACAGUUAAUAACUCGCUCCAACAUUUGGAUAGAACACCAUGUGAUUUACCUGCAUCACCUCCACGACAGAUGAAGACUCCAUUUGACUGUACUAGAUGUUGCACAUAUUCUCAGAACUAAAUUUACAAUUGGUUUGGAUACUCAAGAUGAAAGUGAUUCAAGUAUUUAGUUCCAAGGUCAUGAGUCUUGGGGAAGAAAAGUCUCUGGAUUCUGGAGAGCAGAAGAGUUCAGUUACUAAUUUUCCCUUGCAUCACUAAUAGCAAGUCUUCUUUCCCACAUUUUAAUGUGAGAAUGUGAUGAUAGAGCUGCUUUUAAACAAUUUAAUUAUAGUACUUCUGGGAGUAUUCUAAGGUUAGAAAUGCAACAUUUCACAUUUAACAUCUUGAAAUUAUUUUUUCCCUUUCUAAUGCAAGUUGACAAUCAUUUAAAAACCCAUGAAUUUUGACAUAGCUUCAAACAGGUUGUUCCACAUUUAAUAGACAGUGGUUCCCACUCUAGUGUAAAUAUGAUAUAAUGAAGCCUUAAUAUUCCACUCUUCCACAGAAAUGGUUCUGAAUUUGCUGAUUUGUAGAAUUCUUUUGUUUUCACCCUCCAAGGGAAACACAUAGCAAUUUAAAUCUUAUGACAAUAGGCUUGCUUUUCUUGGUUACAUUUCACAAACAUCUUGAAAAUAGUCCAUGGAACAAAAUGGUCUGCUACUCACAGGAUGACAAAAAAUUGUUAUACUAGGAAGACGGAAAAUAAAAAAAAUAACUCACUCAAACCAUUUCAGGCGCUAAUAAAUAAAAACAAACCAGUUCCUAAGAAAAUGUCUUUAAUUUUCAUGUUAUGGAAAUACAUAUUUUGGUUUUAUUUCCAUGAUACAAAAAUUUAAAUAUCAAACAUUUUCUGAAAUCUACCAAUGCAGAUCUUUUUUUAAACAAAUAAAGGGCUGGUGCAGUUAGCAGGUUCAUCACAUUUACCAAAAAACAUUUUUUACAGAAUCAGGAUUUAAAAGUGGGAACAACAGAUGUGAAAACAAAGAAAAACUACCUCCCACCAGGAAAUUAAUGUUUGAGAAACUUUUAAGUUACAGUUUUUUGACAGGGUAAGUAUGUGUAAGGCUGUAUUUAGAUGAAUACCACCUGCACUGGGGGUGGGGGUAGAGAACAGAAAUUCAAGAAAUGUUCCUGGAUAAAGUAACAGGUAGAAAGCAGUAAGUAAAACUGCAGCUCCACCUGUUCCCAGAAUGCUGACAGCAUACUGAAG